rnacentral:ncRNA from 2 species
ACCAACAGGGCAGCGCAAGGCCCACCCGCAACGUCUGGGUGGGAAACGAGGUGGAGGUCAGCGAUUUUUCUGCGGAUGCCUCCAGGUGUGGGCGACACCUACCCGCCGGGUCUGCACAGCAGAUGCGGGAAGUCGCGGCGAUAAACCCAG